AAUUGAACCAAGGAGUCGUUAAGGUAUGAAGAUGCCUCCAAGAUCACUCAAUUCAACCCAAACCAUCCCCACCAUCACCCUAAAUUGAACCAAGGAGUCGUUAAGGUAUGAAGACGCCUCCAAGAUCACUCAAUUCAACCCAAACCAUCCCCACCGUGACCCUAAAUUGAACCAAGGAGUCGUUAAGGUAUGAAGAUGCCUCCAAGAUCACUCAAUUCAACCCAAACCAUCCCCACCGUGACCCUAAAUUGAACCAAGGAGUCGUUAAGGUAUGAAGAUGCCUCCAAGAUCACUCAAUUCAACCCAAACCAUCCCCACCAUCACCCUAAAUUGAACCAAGGAGUCGUUAAGGUAUGAAGACGCCUCCAAGAUCACUCAAUUCAACCCAAAUCAUCCCCACCAUCACCCUAAAUUGAACCAAGGAGUCGUUAAGGUAUGAAGACGCCUCCAAGAUCACUCAAUUCAACCCAAACCAUCCCCACCGUGACCCUAAAUUGAACCAAGGAGUCGUUAAGGUAUGAAGACGCCUCCAAGAUCACUCAAUUCAACCCAAACCAUCCCCACCGUGACCCUAAAUUGAACCAAGGAGUCGUUAAGGUAUGAAGAUGCCUCCAAGAUCACUCAAUUCAACCCAAACCAUCCCCACCAUCACCCUAAAUUGAACCAAGGAGUCGUUAAGGUAUGAAGACGCCUCCAAGAUCACUCAAUUCAACCCAAACCAUCCCCACCGUGACCCUAAAUUGAACCAAGGAGUCGUUAAGGUAUGAAGAUGCCUCCAAGAUCACUCAAUUCAACCCAAACCAUCCCCACCGUGACCCUAAAUUGAACCAAGGAGUCGUUAAGGUAUGAAGAUGCCUCCAAGAUCACUCAAUUCAACCCAAACCAUCCCCACCAUCACCCUAAAUUGAACCAAGGAGUCGUUAAGGUAUGAAGACGCCUCCAAGAUCACUCAAUUCAACCCAAACCAUCCCCACCGUGACCCUAAAUUGAACCAAGGAGUCGUUAAGGUAUGAAGAUGCCUCCAAGAUCACUCAAUUCAACCCAAACCAUCCCCACCAUCACCCUAAAUUGAACCAAGGAGUCGUUAAGGUAUGAAGAUGCCUCCAAGAUCACUCAAUUCAACCCAAAUCAUCCCCACCAUCACC